rnacentral:rRNA from 1 species
UACAGAGGGUGCUAGCGUUGUUCGGAAUCAUUGGGCGUAAAGGGCGUGUAGGCGGUUUGUUAAGUCAUGUGUGAAAUCCCUCGGCUCAACCGGGGAACGACGCAUGAAACUGGCAAGCUAGAGUACCAAAGAGGGGGGUGGAAUUCCCGGUGUAGCGGUGAAAUGCGUAGAGUAUCGGGAGGAACACCUGUGGCGAAGGCGGCACUCUGGGCCGGAACUGACGCUGAGGAGCGAAAGCGUGGGUAGCAAACAG